AAGGUUUCCGUAGGUGAACCCUGCAAAGCAGAACGACCCGUGAACACGUAAUACAACCGAGCGUCGAGCGGGUUAAGCGCUAGUUUGAUCCUCUCGAUGCUUUGUCGAUGUGCAUUCACUUGAGUCCUCUUGGGCCUUGUGAAUGUGUCGUUGGCGCAAUAACAACCCCCGGCACAACGUGUGCCAAGGAAAACUAAACUUGAGAAGGGUUGUCUCAUGUUGCCCCGUUCGCGGGGGGCUCAUGGGAUGUGGCUUCUUUAUAAUCACAAACGACUCUCGGCAACGGAUAUCUCGGCUCACGCAUCGAUGAAAAACGUAGCAAAAUGCGAUACUUGGGGUGAAUUGCAAAAUCCCGUGAACCAUCGAGUUUUUGAACGCAAGUUGCGCCCGAAGCCUUUUGGGCGAGGGGACGUCUGCCUGGGCGUCACGCAUCGCGUCGCCCCCCACAAUUAUUUGUUAGGGGGCGGAUAUUGGUCUCCCGUGCUCAUGGCGGGGUUGGCCAAAAUAGGAGUCCCUUCCAUGGACGCACAAACUAGUGGGGGUCGUAAAAACCCUCGUUCUUUGUUUUGUGCCGACAUUUGCAAGGAAACACUCUUUUCUUUACCUAAUGCGUUGUCUUAAGACAAUGCUUCGACCGCGACCCCAGGUCAGGCGGGACUACCCGCUGAGUUUAAGCAUA
rnacentral:rRNA from 1 species